rnacentral:misc_RNA from 1 species
GAGAGAGAGAGAGAGAGAAGGGCAGCUUGCUGAUACAGUUAGGCACCUUGGCAUAAUUGGGAAGUAGUUUCUGCAGUUUUUCUUUGUCACACAGCAGCUUAAUUUCACCUAGACCUGUUACAUUAUUAUGUAUUAUCGUGUGUUAAAAGAGCAUCAGUGACGUCUGAUGAUUGAUGGUCUUAAGGAAGUUGUCAUCACACCAAUUGAGGUAUAAAGUCU